UACAGGAGGGUGCGAGCGUUAAUCGGAAUUACUGGGCGUAAAGCGUGCGUAGACGGUUAUUUAAGUCGGGUGUGAAAGCCCCGGGCUCAACCUGGGAAUUGCAUUCGAGACUGAAUAGCUAGGGUACGGUAGAGGGAAGUGGAAUUUCCGGUGUAGCGGUGAAAUGCGUAGAUAUCGGAAGGAACAUCAGUGGCGAAAGCGACUUCCUGGACCAGUACCGACGUUCAGGCACGAAAGCGUGGGGAGCAAACAGGG
rnacentral:rRNA from 1 species